UACGGAGGGGGCUAGCGUUAUUCGGAAUUACUGGGCGUAAAGCGUGCGCAGGCGGCUUUGCAAGACAGAUGUGAAAUCCCCGGGCUUAACCUGGGAACUGCAUUUGUGACUGCAUGGCUAGAGUGCGGCAGAGGGGGAUGGAAUUCCGCGUGUAGCAGUGAAAUGCGUAGAUAUGCGGAGGAACACCGAUGGCGAAGGCAAUCCCCUGGGCCUGCACUGACGCUCAUGCACGAAAGCGUGGGGAGCAAACAGG
rnacentral:rRNA from 1 species